UUUGGCAAACUAACUGAAAGGUUAGGACGCAAAGUUUCCGGUCUAAGGUUUUAAACUAUGAUAGCGGGACCGCUG
rnacentral:ncRNA from 1 species